rnacentral:misc_RNA from 1 species
GUAUUCAUUUUCCGGGUUCGCUUCUAAGGUAACUUUGAGGCGGCACGGAGAGAUUUGAGGCGUCGCACUUACACUGCGUGCUUUUAAAACUAUUGCUGCUGGAUACUGUCAAGUAACGGAAAAGUAUGUGUAUGGAACCUCGGUUUCUCUAAUACCAAGUACGGGUGAUGGUGCUCGUCCGGCACUCAACUAUUAAAGUUGGUCUCUAGGGAUUAACUUGAA